rnacentral:rRNA from 1 species
UACAGAGGUCUCAAGCGUUGUUCGGAUUCAUUGGGCGUAAAGGGUGUGUAGGUGGCGCGCUAAGUCGGGUGUGAAAUUUCGGAGCUUAACUCCGAAACUGCAUUCGAUACUGGCGUGCUUGAGGACUGGAGAGGAGUACGAGUAAUUCAUGGUGUAGCAGUGAAAUGCGUAGAGAUCAUGAGGAAGACCAGUGGCGAAGGCGGGUCUCUGGACAGUUCCUGACACUGAGACACGAAGGCCAGGGGAGCAAACGGG